UACGUAGGGACCAAGCGUUGUUCGGAUUUACUGGGCGUAAAGGGCGCGUAGUCGGCAGAUCAAGUCAGCUGUGAAAUCUCCGAGCUUAACUCGGAACGGUCAGCUGAUACUGUUUUGCUAGAGUACAGAAGGGGCAAUCGGAAUUCUUGGUGUAGCGGUGAAAUGCGUAGAUAUCAAGAGGAACACCUGAGGUGAAGACGGGUUGCUGGGCUGAUACUGACGCUGAGGCGCGAAAGCUAGGGUAGCAAACGGG
rnacentral:rRNA from 1 species